GCCCUGAUAGUAUAGAUAUUACCCUGGUUUUGUAAACCAGAAACGAAGACAUUAAUCUUCUCAAGGC
rnacentral:tRNA from 1 species